rnacentral:rRNA from 1 species
UACAGAGGUCUCAAGCGUUGUUCGGAUUCAUUGGGCGUAAAGGGUGCGUAGGCGGCGAGGCAAGUCUGGUGUGAAAUCCCGGGGCUCAACCCCGGAACUGCACUGGAUACUGCUUUGCUAGAGUACUGGAGAGGGAACUGGAAUUUACGGUGUAGCAGUGAAAUGCGUAGAUAUCGUAAGGAAGACCAGCGGCGAAGGCGAGUUCCUGGACAGUUACUGACGCUGAGGCACGAAGGCCAGGGGAGCAAACGGGG